AUUUAAAAAAUAACAGGUAAUACAAAAUAAAGUAUUUCAUAGAGCAUAUAACAAAACAAGUUAUAAACUCAUCAUGCAUGCAUAAAUCAUGUAUAUUUCACAAUCAUGAAUCGUAAAUUAUUUUCAUCAUGUAUUCAUGUCAUGUUUCAAAAUAUUGCUCAUAGAUAUUCAUGCUAAGGUCACUAUUAUACCCGUGACAGGGCCAUGUUUCUUAAUCGACAGAGUUCUUAAUUCAUGUGCCAACUUUAUA
rnacentral:lncRNA from 1 species